CAGAAAGACAAGAAGCCUAAGAAGUCAACCUGGAGGUUUCAUUUGGACCUUACUCAUCCAGUAGAAGAUGGAAUUUUUGAUUCUGGAAAUUUUGGUACCUUCCCUAGUGACUAGGGUUUUCUUCCCUAGUUUUGCAUUUUUUCUGUUUGAAAACAGGAACAGUUUCUACGGGAGAAGGUUAAAGUCAAUGGAAAAACUGGAAAUCUUGGAAAUGUUGUUCACAUUGAACGCCUGAAGAAUAAAAUCACAGUUGUUUCUGAGAAACAGUUCUCAAAAAGGUAUUUGAAAUAUCUUACCAAGAAAUACCUUAAGAAGAAUAAUCUCCGUGAUUGGCUUCGUGUGGUCGCAUCUGACAAGGAGACUUACGAACUUCGUUACUUCCAAAUUAGUCAAGAUGAAGAUGGUUCAGAGUCUGAGGACUAAUUGGCCUUUGCUUUUAAUAAAAUGGAAAUAUGCUAAAGAAACCUAAAAUCAGACUUGUUGAGCAAAUAAAAAUCAUUUUACUCUAUAAAAGCAA
rnacentral:lncRNA from 1 species